AACACUUGCACCUAUGAAAUACAUAGAUAUAUUCCAACCACAACAGUGUAAAUUUGAAAAAAAAAAAAUACUGUGAAGUUUUGCAGUGAGAAUUUCUGCCUCAAUAAACAAACUUUCUAGAAGAAAGUCCCCGAGGAUAUCUUUUCAUUUUCAGAACAGGAGGAAAGGGAGACUGACAAACUCCAGUCUACAUUAUUCUUCGAAAUUGUGUAAAAUUAAGCUGUGACUCAGACCCGUACAGAACGCCAGAGGUUUCCUGCCGGUAGGGAACACCUGUAACUUUUUUCCCACUCACCCUCUGAACUGUCUUCUUAUGUUUGGAGAACUCCUCACCAUUGGAGUCUCAGCAAGACACAGGGUCUGCCUCCCACUCUAUAGAUGCUAAAAAAGCCAGCCAGCCAUUUCUUUUGCAGGCCUAGGUUUGGCCAAGUAGAUGCACUGGCCCAGAAUUUGACCCAAAGCAAUAGAAAUGUGGCAGAUUUGUUCUAGUAGCUCUAGCCAAUUUCGGAAGGCAGCUGGGACAGAGCAUCAGCUUAUACACAGUGUUGGUGGGGGAUGGCAGCUACAACAUCAACUCUUUCUUGGCAGCAAUAAUGACCUUCCCAGACAUGUUCCGGGGCCCUUGGCAUGUAGCUUCUUUUGACCCCUAGCCGUCCCACGAUUCUGUGAGCAAUUGGUACGUCUUCAGUACCUUCAUUUUCUGCCGUCAGAAUCAGCCUCUGUGCUUACAACUAGGAACCCUAAAGGGACACAGAACCUCUGGAAUAGUGACUUAGAAUUAAAAAGACAGGAACCAGGGAAUACAGUUUCUCUUAGAAGCUACAUACUGCCCACAAAAGACAUCCAGUUGAAGGUCAGAGUAUUAUUAGUAAAGAGACACGUGUAUAUUUUUCCUUCACGUAAGUCAAGGAGGUGUGUCCGGGAGGAUAUGUGGGGAAAAGGCCAGUUUCAGUGAUAAUCUAGAAACAACGAAGGGAAACCUUAUCCCUUUAUCUAGGUCCAGACUUAGAUAUCUAACUUACACAGUUAAAAAUGCAGGAGUACAAAAUAACUGUAGGCAUUCUACAAUUACAUAAAACAAAAAUACGUAAAACAAAAUAGAGUAUACUAAACACGCGAAAAUGGUCCGCCUGGGGGAGGCGGACAUAGGAGUGGGGAAUGGAGUUGAAGGACAUGGUUGCAGAAACAUGUGCAAAAUGCAAGGCUUAUGUCUGAAGUCCUCUGGCCUACAUGCCUGGUGACAUUUCCUCAGUCCCUGCAAUCUCCGAAAGAGAAAACAAAACUCUCCAGCUGACCAACCUUCAGGCUUGGAGAUGAGCAAAGCAGCGAGGAGCCUGAGGUAACAAUGGGACUGAACCACCAAGCUGAGGCUCCCCACCCAGGUGCAAACAGACAGCAGGGGGUGGUCAGGAUACCUGCCACGGAGAUCGACCAGCAGAGGAUGAUGAUGUCCAACACCCUCUUUUACCAACAAAACUCUUUCCAUCUAUGCCUAACUAUAGUACAGUGAUAUUCUAUAGAGUCAUGUUUGGGGGCGAUGAAAGAGUUUGGAAAUAGAUUGAGGUGAGGAUUGCAAUAACAUCACGAAUGUAACUAAUGGCCCUGAAUUGUAUCCUUAAAAUGCCAAGGUUUGUAAGCAUGGAAGUUCCUUAAAAAGUUAAAAACAAAACUACUCUCCGAUCCAGCAACUGCACUACACGGUCUUGCUGUGUCUACAUCUAAGCUGUUACGUUGGAUUUCACGGUGGACACCUCCCACGCCUAGCACCCACCCCCAGGGUGGGCACCUGUAUCGCACCUGCCAUGGCGAUUGCCCUCAUACGUACCCCCUUAUGGACCUGAGAAGGAUUUGUUGAAUCACAGGGGUUACAGAUAUUCGUCGUGAAUAAGUACCGUCUACUGCUCUCCAGACUGCUGUCUACCCUAGUCUAAGAGCUGUGUGUAGCAUUUCCUACAGGCCCACAACCACAGCCACACCUGGCAUGGAAAUGAGAAUAUUGAUACGGACACCAGAGUGAAAAGAUAAGAAAAAUAGGCCCUGCCCUUGGGCAGCCUGAGGCCCUCCAGCCUCCCGGAGACAGAACACCCAUUCACAUCACAAGGCAUUUCUCUGUGUCACAACACAGACGAGGAAUGCUGGGGUAGGAUGCCCUCCCCACUGCUACUAUCUUCUGAAAAAAUGACUCAAGCCUCAGGAUUGUGUGGAAUGAGGGAGAGUCACUGUUACAUUUCUCAGGAUGUCACUUUGGCAACCUCUGUUCCACCAGGAACAGUCACGAUUGCUGACCAUUCUGCCACCAUCCUGGGAGCUAUAUCCAUCUAAGGAAGAAGCAUAUGCGGACAGAACUGGUCAAGGCCUCACGGGCAAGGUUCUGAGGAACAAGCGGAAUCCAGGCCUGCUUGACUGCAAACCACAAUCUCUUCCUAUGCCUUUGUGGGACAUAUGUCAAGAAGAAGGGGCAGAAAUAAGGGCUGCUCAAGAAGUUGACUUUGCUCCUUGGGGAACGUGGAAGUGUUCCCUGCAGAGUCACGACCGGGCUCCCCCAUGAACGCUGCAGAUUCCAAGAGCACAGGUCCCUUUCUUUUGCUUUGUCACCUUGGGGUUUUAGGGAUUUCAGUAUAGCAGUUGAGAUACAAACCCGUAAACUUUAUUUAGAAACGUACGAUGAUCUGAGAA